ensembl:lncRNA
GGUUAAAUGACAAGUGGCUUCAAGCUAGAGGAUGCAGGUCUGUAAAUAGAGAACUAUCAUUUUUCGCAGCGUGCCGCGGGACAGACCCUCAGUGAGCGGAGGAAACAUGAUCAAGGCAAACACCGGCCCACCUGCGCUCUGGAUCGUGUUCUGUGCUCUCCACUGGCGGCAGGGAGGUAUGAUAACAGCUUCCUCCUGAUCCCUAUCACUCCCGCUCUCCUCUGUAAUGGUGGUACAACAGAUUUGUUGUCUGUGCUGCGGUGGUAUAGAUAACUUACAGCUGAAGUCUGCUUGUUGGUGGUCCGGGUCUUUCUUAACUGGUCACUGGGAGCAUGCCACACUCCGCUAUCCUGAUAGUUGCAGAAAAAUCGACCUACAUUUAGAUAAAAAAUAAAAAAAAGCAUGUGGUAGCCUAAAAUUACAUGACUAAAAUAUGGUCCAUGGUCAGUGUCAAUGUGAAAUUUGGGCCUGGACAAUAGUGUUAUUGUGUUUUCUUCGUCCUUUUAGUAGAUUGGCAAUAAAAAUAGCCAUCCACAGUUGUUGUGGCAAAAAGCUACUUAAGUUCUUCAUUCUCCUCCGGACAAAUAAUAUGGGGUCGGAACAACAUGAGGACCCGGUUGCUCGUUUUUCUUCCAAGAUCUGGCAACACAGAUUUUAGAGGCCGUGAAGGAGAGACAAUGCAGAAGUCGUGUCCUGUCCCUUGAGAGGGACAUUUUUGUGCUGCCUGUGCAUCCCAUAAGAGUUCGAUGCUCUGAAUUAUUGAGAGGAAGACCUAGGCAAUCCAUCACAAGAGAGGAUACAUGUAGACGCCUGUCAUAGCCGGUGGAAGUUGGUGGGGGACGCGUGAAGAGUCACCUCACGGCUCAUCAACACGUUAUUGAGAAACAUCUUCACUCCCUUCUUUUGGCAGGGCCAGGAACCAUCAACAUCGACCCCUCUGAUUGAAAUUACUCAAACUAUUCAUAGAUUCUCUAUUGCUGGACUUUUUCACUAGGCUUUGAAAAGCAACAUAAUUCAAAGUAAUUCAAUGAUUCAUUUGAGAAGUAAUUAGCCACACUACAAGCUACUAACAAAAAGUGAAAAAUGACAUUGAAGCUACUGAAAGAGGACAAUUCAU